rnacentral:rRNA from 1 species
AGCGAACGCUGGCGGCAGGCCUAACACAUGCAAGUCGAACGAUCCUUCGGGAUAGUGGCGGACGGGUGAGUAACACGUGGGAACGUGCCCUUUGGUUCGGAACAACUCAGGGAAACUUGAGCUAAUACCGAAUGUGCCCUUCGGGGGAAAGAUCUAUCGCCAUUGGAGCGGCCCGCGUCUGAUUAGCUAGUUGGUGAGGUAACGGCUCACCAAGGCGACGAUCAGUAGCUGGUCUGAGAGGAUGAUCAGCCACAUUGGGACUGAGACACGGCCCAAACUCCUACGGGAGGCAGCAGUGGGGAAUCUUGCGCAAUGGGCGAAAGCCUGACGCAGCCAUGCCGCGUGAAUGAUGAAGGUCUUAGGAUUGUAAAAUUCUUUCACCGGGGACGAUAAUGACGGUACCCGGAGAAGAAGCUCCGGCUAACUUCGUGCCAGCCGCCGCUGUAACAC